UCUUCAUUUCACAUACUCUCUCGCCACUCUAAUAAUCGAGAGAGUGUGCGAAAUGAAGAGA
rnacentral:pre_miRNA from 1 species